rnacentral:rRNA from 1 species
GAUGAACGCUGGCGGCAGGCCUAACACAUGCAAGUCGAACGAGUGGCGGACGGGCGAGUAAUGUCUGGGAAACUGCCCGAUGGAGGGGGAUAACUACUGGAAACGGUAGCUAAUACCGCAUACCAUCGGAUGUGCCCAGAUGGGAUUAGCUUGUAGGUGAGGUAACGGCUCGCCUAGGCGACGAUCCCUAGCUGGUCGGAGAGGAUGACCAGGCACACUGGAACUGAGACUCGGUCCAGACUCCUCCGGGAGGCGGCGGUGGGGAGUAUGGCACAAGGGGCGCAGGCCUGGUGCAGCCCUGCCACGUGUAUGAAGAAGGCCUUCGGGUUGUAGAGUACUUUCAGCGGGGAGGCGUUACCCGCAGAAGAAGCACCGGCUAACUCCGUGCCAGCAGCCGCGGUAAUAC